GUUGAUCCUGCGGACGGUCGCUGCUAUUGGGAUUCGACUAAGCCAUGCAAGUCAGGGGAGCAAUCCCCGGCGCAAUGCUCAGUAACACGUCGAUAAUCUGCCCUGUGGUCGAGGAUAACCUUGGUAAACUGAGGGGAACACUCGAUAUGAAGACGAUGGCUGGAAGGCCUUGUCUUUCAAAGGUAACGCCACAGGAUGAGUCGGCGGCGGAUUAGGCUGUUGGCGGGGUAAUGGCCCACCAAACCAAUGAUCCGUAGGGGCCUUGAGAGAGGGAGCCCCGAGAGGGACACUGAGAUACUGGUCCCAGCCCUAAGGGGUGCAGCAGGCGCGAAAACUUUGCAAUGCACGAAAGUGUGACAAGGGAAUCCCAAGUGCUCAUGCUCUGCAUGGGCUUUUGCUAAGAGCAAAAAUCUUGGCGAAUAAGUGGUGGGUAAGACUGGUGCCAGCCGCCGCGGUAACCCCAGCGCCACAAGUGGGGGCCAUAUUUAUUGGGCCUAAAGCGUCCGUAGCCGGCUCUGUAAAUCUUUUGUGAAAUCAUCUCGCUUAACGUGAUGGAUGGCAGAAGAGACUGCAAAGCUAGGGACCGGGAGGGGCAAGAGGUAUUGUUGGGGUAGCGGUAAAAUGUUAUAAUCCCAGCAAGACCACCUGUGGCGAAGGCGUCUUGCUAGAACGGUUUCGACGGUGAGGGACGAAAGCUAGGGGAGCGAUCCGGAUUAGAUACCCGAGUAGUCCUAGCUGUAAACGCUGCGAGCAAGGUGUUGCACAUCCUUCGGGGAUGUGCAGUAUCGAAGAGAAGUCGUUAAGCUCGCCGCCUGGGAAGUAUGGUCGCAAGACUGAAACUUAAAGGAAUUGGCGGGGGAGCACUACAAGGGGUGCGGCGUGCGGUUCAAUCCAAUUCAACGCGGAGAAUCUCACCAGGAGCGACGGCAGGAUGAAAGUCAGGUUAAUGGCCUUACUUGACGAGCCGAGAGGUAGUGCAUGGCCGUCGUCAGCUCGUGCCGUAAGGUGUCCUCUUAUGUGAGGCAACGAGCGAGACCUGCAUUCACAAUUGCCACCGACGGAAUUUCCGACUCGAGCACAUUGUGAGGACUGCCUUGGAAACAAGGAGGAAGGUGCAGGCAACGGUAGGUCUGUAUGCUCCGAAUCUUCUGGGCGACACGCGCGCAACAAUGGUAAAGACAAUGGGAUACUACUCCGAAAGGAGACGUUAAGCCUCGAACCUUUACCCUAGUAUGGAUUGAGGGCUGUAACUCGCCCUCAUGACAUUGGAAUCCCUAGUAAUCGGUUCUCACCAUAGACCGGUGAAUAUGUCCCUGCUCCUUGCACACACCGCCCGUCAAACCACUCGAGCAGGGUUUAGGUGAGCGUUAGCUUAACUUGGUUAACUCGAACCUAAGCUCAGUGAGAUGGGUUAAGUCGUCACAAGGUA
rnacentral:rRNA from 1 species